UGUAAUUUUUCCCUAGGCAGAUGUGAGUGUA
rnacentral:piRNA from 1 species